ACACGACUACAUUAGAUACCCCUGUAGUCCCAGCCCUAAACGAUGCGCGUUAGGUGUAUCGGUGACCACGAGUCACCGAGGUGCCGAAGGGAAACCGUGAAACGUGCCGCCUGGGAAAUACGGUCGCAAGGCUGAAACUUAAAGGAAUUGGCGGGGAGCACCACAACGGGUGGAGCCUGCGGUUUAAUUGGACUCAACGCCGGGAAGCUCACCGGAUAAGACAGCGGAAUGAUUGCCGGGCUGAAGACCCUGCAUGACCAGCUG
rnacentral:rRNA from 1 species